GUGGGGGCAUGAGGGCGCUGGAGUGAGGAACAGAUUGGAGCCUUCCCACUUCCUCUCCAAUCUCAGCCCCCGGGAGGAGGGAAAGAUGCAGUCUAGCACCUCAGUUAAGAAUAUGGACUCUAAAGUCAGACUGCCAGGCUUCAAAUUCCAGUUCUGCGACCUCAGCAAAGUUACUUAACCAAGCUCUCAGUGCCUUGUUUUCUUCAUCUGUAAAAUGAGGAUGACGUCACAGCAUUGUUGAGAGAAUUAAUACAGGCUCCAGACUUGUGAAUGGAGAAGUGUUGAGGUGACCCCAGCUCCAGCCACCAGCUGACGACAACCAUACCGGAGAUCCUGAGAGCUGCCUAGCUGACCCCAGGCACCCCCCAGACUUCAUGUAAGCUGUUUGAAGCCGAGGACUUUGUCUGUUUUGUUCACUCCCAAUAGAUUCAGCACUUAGAAGAAUGCCAGGCAGGCUUUCCCCACCAACCAAGAUGGAAUAACAGGGAAAAGACAUACCCUUCUAUCUUCAAUAAUUGGAAACCCAGACAAAGUUUAUGAAACGCUGGUUUUCAAGACAUAGGACAUCAGACAAUCAAGGACAGUAAACACUGAGAUGGGAAACAAACAAGGAAGCCAUGAAAACUUCAAAACUGCUUCACCACCUGGAGACCAAGCACCCUGCAUUAAAAGACAAGCCUUUGGAGUUUUUCUAAAGAAAAAACAUGAACACAGAGAACAGAAGUAAUUAUUGAAGGCCACUACUUCAUUAAGUGUGUCUGUACUGAGAGCAUCGUUCCUAGUGGCUAACCACGUUAUUAGGCUAAGAAGCCCUUUAGUAUUGGUGAAGAGUUGAUCCUGCCUGCUGCUAAGGACAUUUGUCAUGAACUUUUAGGAGAGGCUGCUGUUCAAAAGGUGGCACAUGUUCCUCUUUCAGCUAACACCAUAACUAGAAGAAUGGAUGAAAUAGCAGAGAAUAUUGAGGCACAAUUGUUAGAGAGGAUUAAUGAGUCACCGUGCUACACAAUCCACAAAAGGGUUUUGUCCCAGAAAUAGACUCAUACAUAUAUGAUCAGUGAUUUUCAACAGUGGUACAAAUGCAAGUCAGCGCAGAAAAAAUAAUCUCUUCAACAAAUGGUGCAGGAACAAUUGGAUAUCCAUAAAAUGAACUCGGAUCCACGCUUUGCACCAUAUGCAAAAAUUGACUCAAAAUAGGUAUAGGUCCUAGACCUAAAUGUAACAACCUGAAACUCUAAAAUUUCUCAGGAAAAAAAUGGGAUAAAAUCUUUGUGGUCUUGGAUUAGGCAAAGAUAUUUUCUUGUGUUUGUGGGUAAAGAAACCUUUAAUGAGGGUUCAAGGUGUAAGAGGAGGACCUUGUAGAGAGCCAGCGCUUAGCCCCAGCCUCCUCAUAUGCACAUGGCUCUGUAGAGGUUCUCCAGACAGUGCUGCUGCUGCUGUUUCGAGCCUUAUCUCCUCUGUGCUCCUC
rnacentral:lncRNA from 1 species